rnacentral:tRNA from 1 species
UGUGGCUCAGUGGUAAAGCUCUCGCUUUGCAUGUGUGAGGCACUGAGUUCAAUCCUCAGCA